AAUCAUCCCUGAAUUCAUAUUAUUAUUGGAACAACACAGAGAAGAUUAGCGUGGCCCCCGCGCAAGGAUGACACGCAAAUUGUUCUAUAACCAACCCUGUAGU